AUUGAACGCUGGCGGAAUGCUUUACACAUGCAAGUCGAACGGCAGCACGGGGGCAACCCUGGUGGCGAGUGGCGAACGGGUGAGUAAUACAUCGGAACGUGCCCAGUCGUGGGGGAUAACGUAGCGAAAGUUACGCUAAUACCGCAUACGAUUUACGGAUGAAAGCGGGGGACCGUAAGGCCUCGCGCGAUUGGAGCGGCCGAUGUCAGAUUAGGUAGUUGGUGAGGUAAAGGCUCACCAAGACGACGAUCUGUAGCUGGUCUGAGAGGACGACCCGCCCCGCUGGGACUGAGACACGGCCCAGACUCCGACGGGAAGGCGGCAGUGGGGAAUUUUGGACAAUGGGCGCAAGCCUGAUUCAGCCAUUCCGCGUGCAGGACGAAGGCCUUCGGGUUGUAAACUGCUUUUGUACGGAACGAAAAGGCUCUGGUUAAUACCUGGGGCUCAUGACGGUACCGUAAGAAUAAGCACCGGCUAACUACGUGCCAGCCGCCGCGGUAA
rnacentral:rRNA from 1 species